rnacentral:misc_RNA from 1 species
UACGAGUGCCCCAAGCGUUAUCCGGAUUUAUUGGGCGUAAAGAGUCUGUAGGUGGUUUUGUAUGUCGAUGGUCAAAUCCCAGAGCUCAACUCUGGAACUGCCACCGAAACUGCAAAACUAGAGGUUGGGAGAGGUAGAUGGAAUUGCCGGUGUAGGGGUAAAAUCCGUUAAUAUCGGCAAGAACACCAAAUGCGAAGGCUUUCUACUGGAACACACCUGACACCGAGAGACGAAAGCGUGGGGAGCGAAUGGG